rnacentral:rRNA from 1 species
GAUGAACGCUAGCUACAGGCUUAACACAUGCAAGUUGAGGGGCAGCAUGGUCUUAUCUUGCUAAGGCCGAUGGCGACCGGCGCACGGGUGAGUAACACGUAUCCAACCUGCCGUCUACUCUUGGACAGCCUUCUGAAAGGAAGAUUAAUACAAGAUGGCAUCAUGAGUCCGCAUGUUCACAUGAUUAAAGGUAUUCCGGUAGACGAUGGGGAUGCGUUCCAUUAGAUAGUAGGCGGGGUAACGGCCCACCUAGUCUUCGAUGGAUAGGGGUUCUGAGAGGAAGGUCCCCCACAUUGGAACUGAGACACGGUCCAAACUCCUACGGGAGGCAGCAGUGAGGAAUAUUGGUCAAUGGGCGAGAGCCUGAACCAGCCAAGUAGCGUGAAGGAUGACUGCCCUAUGGGUUGUAAACUUCUUUUAUAAAGGAAUAAAGUCGGGUAUGUAUACCCGUUUGCAUGUACUUUAUGAAUAAGGAUCGGCUAACUCCGUGCCAGCAGCCGCGGUAAUACGGAGGAUCCGAGCGUUAUCCGGAUUUAUUGGGUUUAAAGGGAGCGUAGAUGGAUGUUUAAGUCAGUUGUGAAAGUUUGCGGCUCAACCGUAAAAUUGCAGUUGAUACUGGAUAUCUUGAGUGCAGUUGAGGCAGGCGGAAUUCGUGGUGUAGCGGUGAAAUGCUUAGAUAUCACGAAGAACUCCGAUUGCGAAGGCAGCCUGCUAAGCUGCAACUGACAUUGAGGCUCGAAAGUGUGGGUAUCAAACAGGAUUAGAUACCCUGGUAGUCCACACGGUAAA